AUACAUCAUACAGUUCUUCCCUUUAAAGUAUAUACUCCCAUGGGUUUUGGUAUAUUACAUUAUUAAUUUCUUAAAAUUUUGGUAAAAUAUAUGUAAUAUAAAAUUUGCCAUUUCUACCAUUUUUAAGUGUACAAUUCAGUAGGAUUAAUGGGCCAGCUUUUAUGGUUCACUUGAAGAUAACUCUAGUUUAAUACUACGUACAUGAAAAAUAUGAUGUCUUUAUUAUCAUUCCUAUCACCAGUGCUGAGCUUCCUAACUUACCAGUUUUUCUAUGCUUUUAAGGUGCCAUUUCAACUUAGAAAGCUCACUGACUUUUGGUAUUUUCUGUAUUUUGGU
rnacentral:lncRNA from 1 species